AACGUCUACCUGCAGUAGGGGUGCCUCUAGCUCUGCGCGUCGGGUACGGCUCUAACUCGCGACGCCCUUGCCUCGAUCCUGAUCCGCGGAAGGCGCAGCAGUCGAAACCUGUGGCUCUGCAAAACAGGGGUAACAACUGGGCGUGAGAACUACUGUAAAAAUAAGUAGUCCUCAGUGGGUGCCGCCCAAAACAAUAUCGGUCCACCCACUAAGUCUACAGAGGGGAGCAAGAGUAGUCGGAAAAGCAGAAAGUAAACUCUACCGCUAUCGUUCACUACACUAUCAUGCUCUACACUAACCAACUGUAGGAAAUGUCAAAUCUGACCCAAUCCAAUCGGGACUGUAAACAUACCCGUCCCUGGGACUGUGAACACACCUGUCCCUGCCCAGUUGCGACUAUCCAGCUACCUCCACACUAACUGGUCCGUGGAGAGCAAGUCCAACCGGCAUGAGCGACACCAACGCAAAAGCAUAAAGCCGUCUCCGGAGUGGCACUCGUGGGCGCUACCCAACCGAGUAUGCAGCGUAUCUCUGUCGAGCUCAAACAGGCUCUGAAAAGCCAAAGUCAAGUAACCGACUCUAACUAGUCUAAUAACCAACAGUUCACGUGCCCUCGGCACAAUCUGUCGCCAAAAAGGCGAUCCGGGUCCACCGUCAACUCUGACGGCACCCAACAGUCCAAAAUAGCCCAAACGAUCCUGUAAAAAUCCACUCGACGUACCAGCACGAGCGUAAAUGUAUUCUAAACUACCUGGAGUACUCGUCUCGAGGAUACUGCGACAUCACAAUUUUAUAACCGCUCCUAGAGCUAAAUCAGGCAG
rnacentral:lncRNA from 1 species